GGUGAACGCUAGCAGGAAGCCUAACACAUGCAAGUCGAGCGGCUCUUGUCGAACUGAUUAUGAUUACUUCGGUAUAAAUUUGAUGAUUGACGCUGAGCAGCGGCAAACGGGUGAGUAACACGUAUCUAACUUGCCUUCAAGCGGGGAACAACUUCGGAAACGUCGCUAAUUCCCCAUAAUACCAUUCUACUGAAAAAAGUUUGGUCAAAGAUUUAUCGCUUGAAGAGAGGGAUGCGCUCUACUAGAUAGUUGGUGAGGUAACGGCUCACCAAGUCAAUGAUGGAUAACCGGUCUGAGAGGAUGAACGGUCACAACGGAACUGAGAUACGGUCCGUACCCCUACGGGGGGCAGCAGUGGGGAAUCUUGGACAAUGGACGAAAGUCUGAUCCAGCUAUCCUGCGUGGUGGAUGACGCUUUAAGGAGUGUAAACACCUUUUGUGGAGGAAGACGAAUGACGGUACUCCACGAAUAAGGGACGGCUAACUACG
rnacentral:rRNA from 1 species